rnacentral:rRNA from 1 species
AUUGAACGCUGGCGGCAGGCCUAACACAUGCAAGUCGAGCGGUAGCACAGAGAGCUUGCUCUCGGGUGACGAGCGGCGGACGGGUGAGUAAUGUCUGGGAAACUGCCUGAUGGAGGGGGAUAACUACUGGAAACGGUAGCUAAUACCGCAUAACGUCGCAAGACCAAAGUGGGGGACCUUCGGGCCUCAUGCCAUCAGAUGCGCCCAGAUGGGAUUAGCUAGUAGGUGGGGUAACGGCUCACCUAGGCGACGAUCCCUAGCUGGUCUGAGAGGAUGACCAGCCACACUGGAACUGAGACACGGUCCAGACUCCUACGGGAGGCAGCAGUGGGGAAUAUUGCACAAUGGGCGCAAGCCUGAUGCAGCCAUGCCGCGUGUGUGAAGAAGGCCUUCGGGUUGUAAAGCACUUUCAGCGGGGAAGAAGGCGGUGAGGUUAAUAACCUUGUCGAUUGACGUUACCCGCAGAAGAAGCACCGGCUAACUCCGUGCCAGCAGCCGCGGUAAUACGGAGGGUGCAAGCGUUAAUCGGAAUUACUGGGCGUAAAGCGCACGCAGGCGGUCUGUCAAGUCGGAUGUGAAAUCCCCGGGCUCAACCUGGGAACUGCAUUCGAAACUGGCAGGCUAGAGUCUUGUAGAGGGGGGUAGAAUUCCAGGUGUAGCGGUGAAAUGCGUAGAGAUCUGGAGGAAUACCGGUGGCGAAGGCGGCCCCCUGGACAAAGACUGACGCUCAGGUGCGAAAGCGUGGGGAGCAAACAGGAUUAGAUACCCUGGUAGUCCACGCCGUAAACGAUGUCGAUUUGGAGGUUGUGCCCUUGAGGCGUGGCUUCCGGAGCUAACGCGUUAAAUCGACCGCCUGGGGAGUACGGCCGCAAGGUUAAAACCCAAAUGAAUUGACGGGGGCCCGCACAAGCGGUGGAGCAUGUGGUUUAAUUCGAUGCAACGCGAAGAACCUUACCUGGUCUUGACAUCCACAGAACUUUCCAGAGAUGGAUUGGUGCCUUCGGGAACUGUGAGACAGGUGCUGCAUGGCUGUCGUCAGCUCGUGUUGUGAAAUGUUGGGUUAAGUCCCGCAACGAGCGCAACCCUUAUCCUUUGUUGCCAGCGGUUAGGCCGGGAACUCAAAGGAGACUGCCAGUGAUAAACUGGAGGAAGGUGGGGAUGACGUCAAGUCAUCAUGGCCCUUACGACCAGGGCUACACACGUGCUACAAUGGCAUAUACAAAGAGAAGCGACCUCGCGAGAGCAAGCGGACCUCAUAAAGUAUGUCGUAGUCCGGAUUGGAGUCUGCAACUCGACUCCAUGAAGUCGGAAUCGCUAGUAAUCGUAGAUCAGAAUGCUACGGUGAAUACGUUCCCGGGCCU